rnacentral:lncRNA from 1 species
GUCCAAGGCUCAGGUAUCACCACCUGUGUCAAUGUCACGGAGACACCAGGUACCACCUUGAACCCUGUGACCACUAUGGAGACUUCCAUCACUCAGAGAACCCUUAGCCCUUCCCUGACGCCCCUCACCUGGCACCUGGAGAGCCGCUACCUGGCCCCACGCUUCUCGCCACUGCUCUUCUUCUUACUGCUCUCCUUCCUGAUGGGCUGCUGCCUGGUCGCCUUCUUCCUCCUGCAGCGGCAGCCCUGGGGACGGCAAGGCUCCAUAGAGGACCUCCUCCACUCCCAGUGUUGGGGACUGGCUUUGGGACCUACAAUAUGGCCAUGGCUGCUAUGAGCCCCUGCCCCAUCCUGCAGGGUCACUGGGGUGGAGAAGUCCUUAUCGUGCUCUCCUGGAUGCUGUUUGUAGCCUGUCUCAGCUAUGUCAAGGUGAUGCUGGGUGUGAUCUUGCGUGAUCGGAGUCGCAGCGCCCUCUUGUGGUGUGGGGCAGCAGUGCAGCUGGGCUCUCUGAUUGGUGCCCUGCUCAUGUUCCCGCUGGUUAAUGUACUGAAACUCUUCUCAUCUGCUGACUACUGCAGCCUGGACUGCUCAGCCUAGGCUCGCCUGGCCACCACAGGACACCAGGUACCCCCAUUGCUGAAGUUAAAAGCCAGAAGAGCCCAGAGACACAAAGGGUAACAACCCUUUGCCCUACUACCCCCACCCCAACCAACCCCAAUCCCACAUGGUCACAGAUCUGGGUUUGGGGAGCAGCAAGGCUAGGCCUGAGCUUUUUAACACAAUGACCUCCUCCCAACCUGGAGUUUCACAGUGCAGCCCCUCCCCCAACCCUGUGACCCAGUGCGUUUGAGCUGCAGUCUUCAUUCUCAGUCUUUGGAGAGAUCCGGUUUGUAGCGAUCAGCUGGAGGCAGCCUAAGGAUGUUAGGGGAAGAUCCCUGGAAGAUUAAGCUGCCCCUUGCUUACUGUGAGA